rnacentral:rRNA from 1 species
ACCUGGCCUGCGUUCCAGCUGAACGCUGGCGUGCGUGCUUAACACAUGCAAUGUCGAACGAACCUAUCUCGUAGUGUGAGUGGCGGACGUGGUGAGUAACGCGUGAGUGAUCUGCCUACAGUGAUGUGUGUGACAACAUGAGUGUGAAACUUCUGCUAAUACCCUGAUGUGCCGAUGAGUGUGAAAUAUUUAUAGCCUGUAGAUGAGCUCGCGUCUGAUUAGCUAGUUGGUGAUGUGUAAAUGUGCUUACCAAUGUGCUGACGAUCAGUAGCUGGUCUGAGAGUGACGAUCAGCCACACUGGUGACUGAGACACUGUGCCCAGACUCCUACGUGUGAGUGCAGCAGUGGUGGAAUUUUCCUGCAAUUGUGUGUGUGCAACCCUGACUGUGAGCAACGCCGCGUGAGUGGAGUGAAGUGCCUGUGGGUUUGUAAACCUCUUUUCUCAGUGGAAGAAGUUCUGACGUGUACCUGAGUGAAUCAGCAUCGUGCUAACUCCUGUGCCAGCAUGCCUGCGUGUAAUGACUGUGAGUGAUGCAAUGCUGUUAUCCGGAAUUAUUUGGGCUGUCAAAGCGUCCGUAGUGUGGUUACAAAAGUCUGUUUGUUAAAGCCCACAUGGCUCAACUGUGUGAUCGGCAAUUGGAAACUUGUUGUGACUUGAGUGUGGUAGGGGUCAGAGGGGAAUUCCUAGGUGUAGGCGGUUGAAAUGCGGUAAGGAUAAUUCAGGAGGAACACCAGUGGCGAAGGCGCUCUACUUGGGCCAUAACUGACAC